rnacentral:lncRNA from 1 species
UCAGGUAUUUACUGGGACACGUGCAUGGAAAGAUGUGGAAGAUACAUUUUAGAUUUAGAUUGAAGGAGAGAAAGAGUCAUCGCCUAUAUUCCUAUCACUCACAUUCCAUCUAUCCACGUUCAUACAUAAAUCAUGGAGGAUACGCAGCUCCAGAGCCACCUUGCAUCAAAAUGGAGUCAGAUUAAAGGGUUCUAGCUGAUUGAUGUACAUCAAUGAUACACUGACGUCAAAGAAGACGAUAUA